rnacentral:tRNA from 1 species
GGGGCUUUAGCUUAAUUAAAGCAUUUGAGUUGCAUUCAAAAUAUGUGAGGUAGUCUUGCAGGUCCUA